rnacentral:rRNA from 1 species
AUACGUAGGGUCCGAGCGUUGUCCGGAAUUAUUGGGCGUAAAGAGCUCGUAGGCGGCCUGUCGCGUCUGCUGUGAAAGUCCGGGGCUUAACUUCGGGUGUGCAGUGGAUACGGGCAGGCUUGAGGUAGGUAGGGGAGACUGGAAUUCCUGGUGUAGCGGUGAAAUGCGCAGAUAUCAGGAGGAACACCGGUGGCGAAGGCGGGUCUCUGGGCCUUACCUGACGCUGAGGAGCGAAAGCGUGGGGAGCGAACAGGAUUAGAUACCCUGGUAGUCCACGCCGUAAACGUUGGGCGCUAGGUGUGGGGACUUUCCACGGUUUCCGUGCCGUAGCUAACGCAUUAAGCGCCCCGCCUGGGGAGUACGGCCGCAAGGCUAAA